rnacentral:tRNA from 1 species
GGGGCGUUAGUUCAGGGGAGAACGCUUCGCUGGCAGCGAAGAGGUCAGGGGUUCAAAUCCCCUACGCUCCA